ACGCUUCCCGCUAAGCGAGAUGCCAUGAGUCGCGACGCGGAAUCCGUUCGUAUGAUGAAGAGGCCGAAGUCGUGUAGAGGUUUCAAUUCGUUGUUUGAUAUGCCAAUCAAGUCAUAUGGAAUUCAGCAAUCUAUAUCCAAAAUUGAAAACAACCGUCGAGUGAUUAUGAAAUCACCGGGGGAGACCGGAUAUCGAAUGGUUCGGCUUGAAAUUUACGAUGUAAACAAGAUUACUGGGCUGGAACGGCGACAAUGGUGGAAAGUCGCUGAAGUGCGAGCAGAAUUUCUCACGUCUUCCGAAUCAGAUCGUAAGCAACGGUUGACGCAGCAAUUGUUGGACGCAGCGGCCGACGAUUUGAAGACAAUUAAUGGAGUUAGGAAAGAGACGAUAGAUAUAUUUCUGUAAGAGGGAGAGAUGGAUGGAGGGAGAACGAUAGAUCGUGGAUGUGAAGAUGAGGAAGCUGUCCCAGCAAACCACAGUAUAUAACUUAGCUGAUGUAUAUGUUAUAUUACACAAGUGUCAUAAAUAUUACAUGUAAUAUUAUUUGUACAGUACAUAUAAUGUACUAACGGUACGGCUAUAUGUCAGCAACUUUGAAUGUAUAAUUUAUGUAUUAGAUAUAUAUAAUUGCAACGUAACAUUAUAUACGUCUUUUUUA